UAAGUGACUAAGCGUACACGGUGGAUGCCUUGGCAGUCAGAGGCGAUGAAAGACGUAGUAACUUGCGAUAAGCCCAGAUUAGGUAGUAACAACCAUUUGAGUCUGGGAUUUCUGAAUGGGGAAACCCACGUGCAUAAGCACGUAUCCUUACCUGAAUACAUAGGGUAAGGAGGCGAACCGGGGAAACUGAAACAUCUAAGUACCCCGAGGAAAAGAAAUCAACCGAGAUUCCGAAAGUAGCGGCGAGCGAAAUUGGACUAGCCCUUAAGCUUUACACGCGUUAGACGAACGGUCUGGAAAGUCCGACGAUACAGGGUGAUAGUCCCGUAGUUGACGACGUGUGUUCAGUGAAAUCGAGUAGGGCGGGACACGUGAUAUCCUGUCUGAAUAUGGGGGGACCAUCCUCCAAGGCUAAAUACUACUGACUGACCGAUAGUGAACCAGUACCGUGAGGGAAAGGCGAAAAGAACCCCUGUGAGGGGAGUGAAAUAGAACCUGAAACCGUGUACGUACAAGCAGUAGGAGCAGGCUUUGUCCUGUGACUGCGUACCUUUUGUAUAAUGGGUCAGCGACUUAUAUUCAGUGGCAAGGUUAACCAUCUAGGGGAGCCGUAGGGAAACCGAGUCUUAACUGGGCGUUCAGUCUCUGGAUAUAGACCCGAAACCAGGUGAUCUAGCCAUGGGCAGGUUGAAGGUUGAGUAACAUCAACUGGAGGACCGAACCGACUAAUGUUGAAAAAUUAGCGGAUGACUUGUGGCUAGGGGUGAAAGGCCAAUCAAACCUGGAGAUAGCUGGUUCUCCCCGAAAGCUAUUUAGGUAGCGCCUCGGACGAAUACUACUGGGGGUAGAGCACUGUUAAGGCUAGGGGGUCAUCCCGACUUACCAACCCUUUGCAAACUCCGAAUACCAGUAAGUACUAUCCGGGAGACACACGGCGGGUGCUAACGUCCGUCGUGGAGAGGGAAACAACCCAGACCGCCAGCUAAGGUCCCAAAUUACUACUAAGUGGGAAACGAUGUGGGAAGGCUCAGACAGCCAGGAUGUUGGCUUAGAAGCAGCCAUCAUUUAAAGAAAGCGUAAUAGCUCACUGGUCGAGUCGGCCUGCGCGGAAGAUGUAACGGGGCUAAGUAGUAAACCGAAGCUGCGGCAAUGUGCUUUUGCACAUUGGGUAGGGGAGCGUUCUGUAAGCGGUUGAAGGUGUGUGGUAACGCAUGCUGGACGUAUCAGAAGUGCGAAUGCUGACAUGAGUAACGAUAAAGGGGGUGAAAAACCUCCUCGCCGGAAGACCAAGGGUUCCUGUCCAACGUUAAUCGGGGCAGGGUAAGUCGACCCCUAAGGCGAGGCCGAAAGGCGUAGUCGAUGGGAAACGGGUUAAUAUUCCCGUACUUCUUACAAUUGCGAUGGGGGGACGGAGAAGGCUAGGUGGGCCUGGCGACGGUUGUCCAGGUUCAAGUGCGUAGGCUUAAGAGUUAGGUAAAUCCGGCUCUUUUUAAGGCUGAGACACGACGUCGAGCAUCUACGGAUGUGAAGUCAUUGAUGCCAUGCUUCCAGGAAAAGCCUCUAAGCUUCAGAUUGUAAGGAAUCGUACCCCAAACCGACACAGGUGGUCGGGUAGAGAAUACCAAGGCGCUUGAGAGAACUCGGGUGAAGGAACUAGGCAAAAUGGUACCGUAACUUCGGGAGAAGGUACGCUCUCGACGGUGAAGUCCCUCGCGGAUGGAGCUAUUGAGAGUCGCAGAUACCAGGUGGCUGCAACUGUUUAUUAAAAACACAGCACUGUGCAAAAUCGUAAGAUGACGUAUACGGUGUGACGCCUGCCCGGUGCCGGAAGGUUAAUUGAUGGGGUUAGACUUCGGUCGAAGCUCUUGAUCGAAGCCCCGGUAAACGGCGGCCGUAACUAUAACGGUCCUAAGGUAGCGAAAUUCCUUGUCGGGUAAGUUCCGACCUGCACGAAUGGCGUAAUGAUGGCCACGCUGUCUCCACCCGAGACUCAGUGAAAUUGAAAUCGCUGUGAAGAUGCAGUGUACCCGCGGCUAGACGGAAAGACCCCGUGAACCUUUACUACAGCUUGGCACUGAACAUUGACCCUACAUGUGUAGGAUAGGUGGGAGGCUUUGAAGCACGUACGCCAGUAUGUGUGGAGCCGUCCUUGAAAUACCACCCUUGUAGUGUUGAUGUUCUAACGUCGACCCCUUAUCGGGGUUGCGGACAGUGCCUGGUGGGUAGUUUGACUGGGGCGGUCUCCUCCCAAAGAGUAACGGAGGAGCACGAAGGUGGGCUAAUCACGGUUGGACAUCGUGAGGUUAGUGCAAUGGCAUAAGCCCGCUUGACUGCGAGAAUGACAAUUCGAGCAGGUGCGAAAGCAGGUCAUAGUGAUCCGGUGGUUCUGAAUGGAAGGGCCAUCGCUCAACGGAUAAAAGGUACUCCGGGGAUAACAGGCUGAUACCGCCCAAGAGUUCAUAUCGACGGCGGUGUUUGGCACCUCGAUGUCGGCUCAUCACAUCCUGGGGCUGAAGUCGGUCCCAAGGGUAUGGCUGUUCGCCAUUUAAAGUGGUACGCGAGCUGGGUUUAGAACGUCGUGAGACAGUUCGGUCCCUAUCUGCCGUGGGCGUUGGAAGAUUGAAGGGGGCUGCUCCUAGUACGAGAGGACCGGAGUGGACGAACCUCUGGUGUUCGGGUUGUGUCGCCAGACGCAUUGCCCGGUAGCUAAGUUCGGAAUCGAUAACCGCUGAAAGCAUCUAAGCGGGAAGCGAGCCCUGAGAUGAGUCUUCCCUGAUACUUUAAGUAUCCUAAAGGGUUGUCGGAGACUACGACGUUGAUAGGUCAGGUGUGUAAGUGCUGUGAGGCAUUGAGCUAACUGAUACUAAUUGCCCGUGAGGCUUAACCA
rnacentral:rRNA from 1 species